UCCGAGUUGACCCCGGCAGUCUCCCACGAGUCCCCGGCAUAACCCGCUGGCAACAUAGAACGAGGGUUGCGCUCGUUGCGGGACUUAACCCAACAUCUCACGACACGAGCUGACGACAACCAUGCACCACCUGUGCAGGGCUCUUGCGGACCCCGUAUCUCUACGAGAUUUCCCUGCAUGUCAAGCCUUGGUAAGGUUCUUCGCGUUGCGUCGAAUUAAGCCACAUGCUCCGCCGCUUGUGCGGGUCCCCGUCAAUUCCUUUGAGUUUUAGCCUUGCGGCCGUACUCCCCAGGCGGGGUGCUUAAUGCGUUAGCUUCGGCACGGAAGGGGUUGAUACCUCCCACACCUAGUUCCCAACGUUUACGGCAUGGACUAC
rnacentral:misc_RNA from 1 species